rnacentral:rRNA from 1 species
UGCAGUCGAACGAUGAAGCCCAGCUUGCUGGGUGGAUUAGUGGCGAACGGGUGAGUAACACGUGAGUAACCUGCCCUUGACUCUGGGAUAAGCGUUGGAAACGACGUCUAAUACCGGAUACGAGCUUCCACCGCAUGGUGAGUUGCUGGAAAGAAUUUUGGUCAAGGAUGGACUCGCGGCCUAUCAGCUUGUUGGUGAGGUAAUGGCUCACCAAGGCGACGACGGGUAGCCGGCCUGAGAGGGUGACCGGCCACACUGGGACUGAGACACGGCCCAGACUCCUACGGGAGGCAGCAGUGGGGAAUAUUGCACAAUGGGCGAAAGCCUGAUGCAGCAACGCCGCGUGAGGGACGACGGCCUUCGGGUUGUAAACCUCUUUUAGCAGGGAAGAAGCGAAAGUGACGGUACCUGCAGAAAAAGCACCGGCUAACUACGUGCCAGCAGCCGCGGUAAUACGUAGGGUGCAAGCGUUGUCCGGAAUUAUUGGGCGUAAAGAGCUCGUAGGCGGUUUGUCGCGUCUGCUGUGAAAUCCCGAGGCUCAACCUCGG